GAUGAAGAACGUAGCGAAAUGCGAUAAGUAAUGUGAAUUGCAGAAUUCAGUGAAUCAUCGAAUCUUUGAACGCACAUUGCGCCCUCUGGUAUUCCGGGGGGCAUGCCUGUUCGAGCGUCAUUAUAACCACUCAAGCUUUCGCUUGGUAUUGGGGCUCGCGGUUCCGCGGCCCCUAAAAUCAGUGGCGGUGCCUGUCGGCUCUACGCGUAGUAAUACUCCUCGCGAUUGAGUCCGGUAGGUCUACUUGCCAGCAACCCCCAAUUUUUACAGGUUGACCUCGGAUCAGGUAGGGAUACCCGCUGAAUUUAAGCAUAUCAAUAAGCGGAGGA
rnacentral:misc_RNA from 1 species